rnacentral:rRNA from 1 species
CCUACGGGUGGCAGCAGUGAGGAAUAUUGGUCAAUGGGCGUAAGCCUGACCCAGCCAAGUCGCGUGAGGGAUGAAGGUUCUAUGGAUCGUAAACCUCUUUUAUAAGGGAAUACAGUGCGGGAAGUGUCCCGUUUUGUAUGUACCUUAUGACUAAGGAUCGGCUAACUCCGUGCCAUCAGCCGCGGUAAUACGGAGGAUCGGAGCGUUAUCCGGAUUUAUUGGGUUUAAAGGGUGCGUAGGCGGCCUUUUAAGUCAGCGGGGAAAGUCUGUGGCUCAACCAUAGAAUUGCCGUUGAAACUGGGAGGCGUGAGUUUGUUUGAGGCAGGCGGAAUGCGAGGUGUAGCGGUGAAAUGCUUAGAUAUCACGCAGAACCCCGAUUGCGAAGGCAGCCUGCCAAGCCAUGACUGACGCUGAUGCACGAAAGCGUGGGGAUCAAACAGGAUUAGAUACCCUUGUAGUC